rnacentral:lncRNA from 1 species
CUUAGAACCCAUGCGGAUAUAGUUUUCAUAUAAUUCAUCCCCUUGACCAAAAUGAUCAUAGGAUACUCCAGAGUUCAACUGUCAACUCUGAUCAGGUUGUCCACAUUGUAUUUUAAAAUAUCAAAUCCAUCUGAUGGAUUAUCCUGAUCAAGGUUUUGCUAAAUUGAAAUACAGCGACUCAUUCUUCUCCAACUCUUGGAGUGGUCAAUCCCA